UACGUAGGGUGCAAGCGUUGUCCGGAAUUAUUGGGCGUAAAGAGCUCGUAGGCGGUUUGUCGCGUCGAAUGUGAAAACCCGGGGCUCAACCCCCGGGCCUGCAUUCGAUACGGGCAGACUAGAGUUCGGUAGGGGGAGUCUGGAAUUCCUGGUGUAGCGGUGAAAUGCGCAGAUAUCAGGAGGAACACCCGGUGGCGAAGGCGGGACUCUGGGCCCGAAUACUGACGCUGAG
rnacentral:rRNA from 1 species